UGGCGGCAUAGCUCAGUUGGUUAGAGCACCGGAAUCAUAAUCCGGGUGUCGUUGGUUCGAGUCCAAUUGCCGCUAA
rnacentral:tRNA from 1 species